rnacentral:rRNA from 1 species
CCGUACCAUGCUGAAUAUACCGGUUCUCGUUCGAUCUCCGAAGUCAAGCAUCAUUGGGCGCGGUCAGUACUUGGGUGGGUGACCACUUGGGAACACCGCGUGCCGUU